GCUCGCUCACUCCCAGCCAGAUCCACAAGGCUGAUCUUGCUGACCUUCUCUGUGGAAAGAUCAGUUUCUGCAUCAUGUUUCUUCUGAGUAAAGACAAUUGUAAACACAGCAUGAGAACGGCUGCUAGUUUCAUUCAUGUUGGUAGCUGCCACAGUCCUGGCUUUGUUUCCAGCAUCCAUGAGGUCUGCAAUGUCUGUGUAAGAUGUGACUGCUAACUUGGACAGAUCUUCCACGUAAGGGCCAAGCAGAGGAUGUUCUCGCACCCGCAAAUUCCCUUUGUUCUUCGGGUUCAACAAGUCUCUGACUCUCUCACAAUAAAUCUCCAUGUAACUCACCUCUACAGAGUACGACAUCUCUUCGUUGCUGUUGUCAUUGAUUUUCUCAAACAAUUCUUCACAUAGCUGGGGGAUUAUCCCUGCUUGGCUCUCCUCCUGUUUGCCCAUCAUUGUGUAGGAUUUCCCAGCUCCAGUUUGUCCGUAGGCAAAAAUGCAUACGUUGUAGCCCUCAAAGGCAUGCAGCAACAUCUCCUUCCCAAUAUCAUUGUACACACGGCUCUGAGACGCAAAGCAGGGAUCUUCAGGCGACGUGUGGGACCAAUAAGAGUAGUCAAAGCUGAAGGACUUUGGCGCUUCCUUGGGAUUCUUUGGGUUGAUAAUACUGGUUGAAUUGCCUUGCAUCUGGAUGAUACAUUUGGAUUCUUUGCUGGUUUCUCGAGAGUUGAAGGGCCGGACCCGAACAGCCACCUUCACAGAAGCCCCCGACAUUCUGGCUGCUUGUCGUACAGUCGAGAUAUUACGUGAAAGAGGUCAGAAUCCUUCAAGUUUACCUUCUUGCUGGCGUUUUCUGGGGAUGGCCGCGGGGCUCCGAGGGCCGCGGGCGGUGCGGGGCCGCCGGCGCUGUCAGCGGCUGGGGCCGGCGAAGGAGCGCAGCGCGGGGCGGGGGAAAGGAAAGCAAGCGGCCUCCCCCAUCACACUUCGCCGCCUCCGCUG
rnacentral:lncRNA from 1 species